rnacentral:rRNA from 1 species
UACGGGGGGGGCAAGCGUUGUUCGGAAUUACUGGGCGUAAAGGGCUCGUAGGCGGCCAACUAAGUCAGACGUGAAAUCCCCGAGCUCAACUCGGGAACUGCGUCCGAUACUGGUGGGCUUGAAUCCGGGAGAGGGAUGCGGAAUUCCAGGUGUAGCGGUGAAAUGCGUAGAUAUCUGGAGGAACACCGGUGGCGAAGGCGGCAUCCUGGACCGGCAUUGACGCUGAGGCGCGAAAGCUAGGGGAGCAAACGGG